rnacentral:rRNA from 1 species
UACGAAGGUCCCAAGCGUUGUUCGGAAUCACUGGGCGUAAAGGGAGCGUAGGCGGCGUGGUAAGUCAGAUGUGAAAUCCCGGGGCUCAACCCCGGAACUGCAUCCGAUACUGCCAUGCUAGAGGAUUGGAGAGGUAGCUGGAAUUCUUGGUGUAGCAGUGAAAUGCGUGGAUAUCAAGAGGAACACUCGUGGCGAAAGCGAGCUACUGGACAAUUCCUGACGCUGAGGCUCGAAAGCGUGGGGAGCAAACAGG